rnacentral:rRNA from 1 species
CCUACGGGGUGCAGCAGUGGGGAAUAUUGCGCAAUGGACGAAAGCCUGACGCAGCGACGCCGCGUGAGGGAUGAAGGUCUUCGGAUCGUAAACCUCUGUCAGCAGGGAAGAACGGUCACUGUGCUAAUCAGCAGUGACUUGACGGUACCUGCUAAGGAAGCACCGGCUAACUCCGUGCCAGCAGCCGCGGUCAUACGGAGGGUGCGAGCGUUACUCGGAAUUACUGGGCGUAAAGCGCUCGUAGGCGGGAUGACAAGUCAAGGGGGAAAUCCCCGCGCUCAACGUGGGAACUGCCUUUGAAACUGUCGAACUGGAGUGUGGGAGAGGAUAGUGGAAUUCCAGGUGUAGGAGUGAAAUCCGUAGAUAUCUGGAGGAACAUCAGUGGCGAAGGCGACUAUCUGGCACAUAACUGACGCUGAGGAGCGAAAGCGUGGGUAGCAAACAGGAUUAGAUACCCUAGUAGUC